rnacentral:rRNA from 1 species
CCAUUGGAAACGAUGGCUAAUACCCCAGAUGUUAUUGAGUUUAGAAAUCAAUAACUAAAGCUCCGGCGCUCUGGGAGGGGCCUGCGUCCCAUCAGCUAGUUGGUAAGGUAAUGGCUUACCAAGGCAAAGACGGGUAGGGGGCGUGAGAGCGUGACCCCCCACACUGGUACUGAAACACGGACCAGAUACCUACGGGUAGCAGCAGCAAGGAAUAUUGCCCAAUGGACGAAAGUCUGAGGCAGCAACACCGCGUGGAGGACGAAGGCCUUCGGGUUGUAAACUCCUUUUCUGGGGGAAGAGAAAGGACGGUACCCCAGGAAUAAGGCCCGGCUAACUACGUGCCAGCAGCCGCGGUAAAACGUAGGGGUCAAGCGUUAUCCGGAUUUACUGGGCGUAAAGCGCAUGUAGGCGGUUGCUUAAGUCGGACGUGAAAGCUCCUGGCUCAACUAGGAGAUGCCGUUCGAAACUAAGUAACUCGAGGAUGGUAGAGGAGAGUGGAAUUCCCGGUGUAGUGGUGAAAUGCGUAGAUAUCGGGAGGAACACCAGUGGCGAAGGCGGCUCUCUGGGCCAUUCCUGACGCUGAGAUGCGAAAGCUAGGGGAGAGAACGGGAUUAGAAACCCCGGUAUUCCUAGCCGUAAACGAUGUCAACUAGGUGUAGGAGGUAUUGACCCCUUCUGUGCUGCAGCAAACGCGUUAAGUUGACCGCCUGGGGACUACGGCCGCAAGGCUAAAACUCAAAGGAAUUGACGGGGACCCGCACAAGCAGCGGAGCGUGUGGUUUAAUUCGAGGCUACGCGAA